rnacentral:tRNA from 1 species
GGAUUGUGGCUCAGUGGUAGAGUGCUUGCCUAGCAAGUAUGAGGCCUUGGGUUCAAUUCUCAGCACUG